GAGCUUUUUAUUUAUCUGGGAAAGAUAGAGGUUUUGUGCCUCGUGCACGAGGCAGUGGAAACUUAGAGAUUUGUGUCGGCCAGUUGCGAUUGCGAGCUUUUGGCAGCCUUUGGUCUCUCUUUCCAUGGACAUUACACAGAGAGCAGGGGAUUCCCAGCUUCAAAGUCGAUACCUUACAACAUUGUGCCCAUUGCUUAAGAUGGGGAUUGCAUUAUGAAUUAAUAGUUUAUAUCGAUGUUUCUCCUUUACCUUCAUGCUGCUGCCUUGUUCCUGCUGAAGAGGAACAGUACGCAGGAUUUUGGGCCAUGUAAAGUCAGUGUGGGGGGUAGCAGGGCCUGCAAGGGCUGGGACCUGGCUUUUCACCAGGUUUUUGGCUGUACAUCCGGUUAGCAAGUGUAAACAGAGAAGGUUUGUUUUGUACGCAUGACCUAUUGGCGUCGAGAUUUUGGCAUGUUGAAAUGGGUCUUUAAUGUGUCUUUUAAAGGCAGUGCCAGUUUAAUUGGCUCCCCCUUCCAGUUUGCUCCUGGUAGGCGUCGUUCUGAAAGAUUCAGUGCGGUCACCUUAAAUAUGACUUUCCAAAUUUUUUCC